rnacentral:sRNA from 1 species
UAAGAUAUUUAAAUGAAAAUAUUUAUUUGAUUAAUUAAUGAACAUUUGUAUAUAAAAAAAAUUAAAUAAAUUUUGAUGAGAAAAUUUAUAUUCCAUGUAUUUCUAUUCCUUACCUUUGUAGCUUUAUAUAUAUAUAUAUAUAUAUAUAUAUAUAUAUAUAAUUAUAGAGGUAAGAAACAUGUAAGAAAUAAUUAACAUAUAAUGUAUAUAUAUUUCUUUUGUUGCACGAUUUUAUAUCCAUUAUAUUAUAUAUAUGGUUUAUUAAAUAUUUUUGUUAUUUUUAUACUUUAUUUUUGAGGAAUACAUAUGUAUUCUUAUAAAGUACAAAAUUUUACUUAUAUAAAAUUUAAUUUUUAUGUUAUUACAUAUAUGUGUUUUUAAUUUUUUAAUUUUUUUGUAGAUAAAUGUAUAUAUAUAUAUAUAUAUAUAUAUAUAUAUAUAUAUAUAUAUAUGUGGGCAUAAAAUUUAUAUAUAUUAUUAUGAUAUAUGACGCUAUCAGUUUUUGGUGCAUAUAUCUUAGCAUGGCCAUCCUUCAAAAGUGUUUUGUAGUUGAAAAAAUGCAUGAAAAUAUAAAAAUUUCGAAAAAAAAAAUACAAUUUUAAAAUAAACAAACAUGAUUGGUGCUGUGCAUCGCUUCAUGAAGAAAGAGGAGAAAUAUCACGAAUAAAUUCAAUUAGUGUUUUUCGAUGAAGUAUUAUAAUAUAUAAGAAAAAAAAAAAAAAAAAUAUGUUCAAUUUUUAUUUUCUUUUUUAAUUUUUUAAUAUUUAUAAUUAAUUCACUCUUUUGUUCAUAAAAUUUCCCAUUUUCAUUAAAAAUUUCUGUUCUUUUGGAUUGUUCGAUAAGAAAGAAAAUGUUUAAGAAAUAAAUAAAUCAACAUAAUAAUAUAAUAUAUUUCUGAAAAAAAUUAUAUAAAAGUUGAGUAUGGAGAGAUAUAUAGUAUAUUCCAAAUAUAUGUAUAGUCUCAAAGGUUUUUAUCCAUAAAAAAUAAAACAUGUUUGUUUUAUAUAAUAAAUCAACGUUUUUUAUACAUCUAAAUGUUAAACAUAUAAUGGAUAUUCCAUUUAAUAAUAUUCCCCCUCCCUCUUUUAUUCUGAGUAAUAAAUGUAACAAAGAAGUCUUGAUGAUUACUAAUAAUUGUAUAGAAAAAAUAUUUAUGAAUAUAUAUAUAUAUAUAUUUGUUUAUGUGUGUAAGAUGAGGCAUUUGUAUAAUAAUUUUUUUUGUAUAAACAUUUUUACCAUAUAAAUAUAUAUAUUUAUAUAUUUAUAUAUAUAUUUUUUUGUCUUUAUAGUAAUUAAAUGUAUUACACAAUUAUAUAAUAUUUAGUUAUAAAGUAUAUAUUGUGUAUACAUCAUAAGAUAGCGUUCUAUAUAUAUAUAUUAUGUAAGAAUAAAAGUGGAGGAAAUGUUAUUACGUGUGUAUAUAAUAAAUAUUGUGUGUAAUACAUGAUAGUUAUGUGUGUAGCCCUUUAUGUUUAAAAGCCUUGUAAAGGUUUAACGCGCCUUUAAAGGUGGGGAAGUAAAUAUAUUUUAAUUGUUCGGUUUAAUUUUACUGUUCAAGAGGAUGAAUAUAUAAAGAUCUUCUAUUUCGUAAGAAAUAUUAGGUUGAACUUAUCUCUUAUUAAUUAUCAUAUGAUAUAAAUAUAGACUAGUUUCUUUUAUGAGCUAGUUUAUAUUUAGCAUGUGAUAAUUAUUAUGAAAAUGGUCGUAUGUUUGGUUAAAAUCCUUUGAAGUGUGUGACGAGCCUUUAAAGGUAGAGGUGUAAAUAACAUAUUUUGAUCUCUUCCUGUGUUGAUCAUAAUUUCCUCAUUAUAUUUCUUAAGAAUAUUUUGUAGGUUACUUCUUAAUUAAUCAAUAUAUAAAUGUAUAUAUUAUGAUGUAGUUAUAUGUUUAUAGCAUGUCGUAUAUAUACUAUUAUAGAGGUGAUUGAAAAAAUACGGUAUAUACUUAGAGGGGAUCUAGGUAAAAAAUAGAAACGGAUAUAAUUAUUUUAAUAAUUAUUGAAAUCCUUAUACAGGCUUGGACGUGCCUAUAAAGGUGGGGUGCAUACAUAUAUUUAUAUAAAAGGAUAUAAAUAUAUCUAGUUUGUUAAAUAAAAUGAAUAAUAUAAAAUUUGUUUUUUUUUAUUUAAUAAAUCUAGGAUGUACUUUAAGGUUGAUUUAUGAUCUUUACAAUAAUAUAUAUAUAUAUAUAUAUAUAUAUAUAUAUGUAUUAUAAUGUGGUGUAAACUUAUCAUUAUGAUAUUUUAUGUAUAUUGUUAUUAUGGGGUGAUUUCCUAUCAUAUAUAAAGCACAUAUAUCAACUGUAUAAGAUAUAACGUUCUCCCUUUGACUAUAAAAAGCCUCGAGGGUAUAACGCGCCAAGAGGGGUGGAGGAUAACUAAAUUUGAGUUUUUAUUAUGAAGGAAAAUAAACGUUUCUCAUAUAAAAGCACACAUAUAUAUAUGUAUAUAGAUAGUAGUCUUUUUAUCAAAUUGUUAUGUUAUUCUUCGAGUCGUUUGCGAAUAUAAAUAGUUUAUUUGUAUUUUUUUUUUUUUUUUUUUUUUUUUUUUUUUUCUUAUAUACGAAUAUUGAAGACAUUAAAAUGUAUUAUAUUUUUAGUACAUUUUUAUGUGAAAUUGCAAUUAGUAGUAUUGAGGAAAAAGAAAAAAAAAAAAAAGAAGGGAAAUCCAAAUAAAAUAUAUAUUAGUAGUAUUCAACAGGAAGUCGGUAUGUUCAAUAAAUAAAUUCUUUUUGAGGUUUA